UGCAGUCGAGCGGAAACGAGUUAUCUGAACCUUCGGGGAACGAUAACGGCGUCGAGCGGCGGACGGGUGAGUAAUGCCUAGGAAAUUGCCCUGAUGUGGGGGAUAACCAUUGGAAACGAUGGCUAAUACCGCAUAAUACCUNCGGGUCAAAGAGGGGGACCUUCGGGCCUCUCGCGUCAGGAUAUGCCUAGGUGGGAUUAGCUAGUUGGUGAGGUAAUGGCUCACCAAGGCGACGAUCCCUAGCUGGUCUGAGAGGAUGAUCAGCCACACUGGAACUGAGACACGGUCCAGACUCCUACGGGAGGCAGCAGUGGGGAAUAUUGCACAAUGGGCGCAAGCCUGAUGCAGCCAUGCCGCGUGUGUGAAGAAGGCCUUCGGGUUGUAAAGCACUUUCAGUCGUGAGGAAGGUAGUGUAGUUAAUAGCUGCAUUAUUUGACGUUAGCGACAGAAGAAGCACCGGCUAACUCCGUGCCAGCAGCCGCGGUAAUACGGAGGGUGCGAGCGUUAAUCGGAAUUACUGGGCGUAAAGCGCAUGCAGGUGGUUUGUUAAGUCAGAUGUGAAAGCCCGGGGCUCAACCUCGGAAUAGCAUUUGAAACUGGCAGACUAGAGUACUGUAGAGGGGGGUAGAAUUUCAGGUGUAGCGGUGAAAUGCGUAGAGAUCUGAAGGAAUACCGGUGGCGAAGGCGGCCCC
rnacentral:rRNA from 1 species